rnacentral:misc_RNA from 1 species
GAUGAUGAACGCAGCGAAAUGCGAUACGUAGUGUGAAUUGCAGAAUUCAGUGAAUCAUCGAAUCUUUGAACGCACAUUGCACCUCUCGGUAUUCCGGGAGGUAUGCCUGUUCGAGCGUCAUUUGUACCCUCAAGCUCUGCUUGGUGUUGGGUGUUUGUUCCGCCUCUGUGUGUGAACUCGCCUCAAAACAAUUGGCAGCCGGCGUACUUGUUUCGGAGCGCAGCACAUUUUGCGAUCCAGAUCAACGUACAGCGGCAUCCAAGAAGCCUUAUUUAACGCUCUUGACCUCGGAUCAGGUAGGGAUACCCGCUGAACUUAAGCAUAUCAAUAAGCGGAGGA